rnacentral:rRNA from 1 species
AACGAACGCUGGCGGCAGGCCUAACACAUGCAAGUCGAGCGGACCCUUCGGGGUUAGCGGCGGACGGGUGAGUAACGCGUGGGAAUAUGCCCUUCUCUACGGAAUAGUCCUGGGAAACUGGGGGUAAUACCGUAUACGCCCUUUGGGGGAAAGAUUUAUCGGGGAAGGAUUAGCCCGCGUUGGAUUAGGUAGUUGGUGGGGUAAUGGCCUACCAAGCCGACGAUCCAUAGCUGGUUUGAGAGGAUGAUCAGCCACACUGGGACUGAGACACGGCCCAGACUCCUUCGGGAGGCAGCAGUGGGGAAUCUUAGACAAUGGGGGCAACACUGAUCUAGCCAUGCCGCGUGAGUGAUGAAGGCCUUAGGGUUGUAAAGCUCUUUCAGCUGGGAAGAUAAUGACGGUACCAGCAGAAGAAGCCCCGGCUAACUCCGUG